rnacentral:rRNA from 1 species
AUUGAACGCUGGCGGCAGGCUUAACACAUGCAAGACGAGCGGGGUGAUGGUGCUUGCACUAUCACUUAGCGGCGGACGGGUGAGUAAUGCUUAGGAAUCUGCCUAUUAGUGGGGGACGACAUCUCGAAAGGGAUGCUAAUACCGCAUACGUCCUACGGGAGAAAGCAGGGGAUCACUUGUGACCUUGCGCUAAUAGAUGAGCCUAAGUCGGAUUAGCUAGUUGGUGGGGUAAAGGCCUACCAAGGCGACGAUCUGUAGCGGGUCUGAGAGGAUGAUCCGCCACACUGGGACUGAGACACGGCCCAGACUCCUACGGGAGGCAGCAGUGGGGAAUAUUGGACAAUGGGGGGAAUCCUGAUCCAGCCAUGCCGCGUGUGUGAAGAAGGCCUUAUGGUUGUAAAGCACUUUAAGCGAGGAGGAGGCUCUUUUGGUUAAUACCCAAGAUGAGUGGACGUUACUCGCAGAAUAAGCACCGGCUAACUCUGUGCCAGCCGCCGCCGUAA